GGCGGCAGCGUGGUGGUGCUCACCGGCGCGGUCGCGUCCCCGGGGUUCCGGUUCGUGGUCACCUCCGACGGGUCCGUCCUGGCGAAGCUCAACCCUUACCUCGAGUCCGGGAAGGUGAAGCCGGUGGUCGACCCCAAGGGGCCCUUCCCCUUCUCCCAGGUCGUGGAGGCGUUUUCCUACCUCGAGACCGGGCGAGCCACCGGCAAAGUAGUCAUUUCACCAGUUCCAUGAGACACUGCUGUAAAUAGCUAGCACAAGUGGUGUGUUUUUGUCACAGAUCACUGAGCAAAUAUUUGUUGGAUCGUGCGUAUAAACAGAAAAAGAUGUGAUGUUAUCAGAGAUGGCGGUAGGUUCAUGGUGUAUUUACUACAAUGAACAUAAAUCUGUAGUAUUUGUUCAAUCUGUACCUGACAUUUUACCAUUCAGUUAUGUUUCUGAUAGUUCAAAAGGCUACAGAGGGUUGUACUGCUUUCCUGAAUUUCCAAAGUGAA
rnacentral:lncRNA from 1 species